GAAAAGAAAAGAAACCCAAACCCAUGAUGAGGGGGAGCCCGCGGUUGUAUUAGGGUUCUGAAGGGGGGAAAAAUUUCUUUUCCUUUCAGUUCUGAAACAGAAACCCUUGCACUCCUUACGUAAAGAAAACAGAAGAGAAAAGAGUGAGAGAACCACCCCUUGAACCCUUAGCCGCCGCCGACCAAACCACCACCGCAACCCGUGACGCCGCGCGAGUGAGAGAGCCUUGCGAGAGGGAGAGGAUUCGCGUGGAGGAGGAGAAGAGGGACGUGGACAGCAAGCAACUGAGUUCUGAACCUACAUCUUUUCUCUUUUUCAGACCAAGAACCCAAGAUGGUCGUGAAGAUAAUGGCGAUGACUCAUUCUUGGGAGUUGAUGCUACGUGACGUGCCAAUACUGGAGGACGACUACACUUUAGAGGAAGAGGAAGAGGCUAAGGAAUAGGGUUUGGGUUGAGAGUCUUUUGUUUUCUGAUGGGGUUGAGAGUUUCCGAAGUGUUGGUAUCGAACAAUUUUAUUGCUUAAAUUCGAAUGAACAAGUUUUGAUGUAAUCUUUAUUUUCAUUCA